rnacentral:rRNA from 1 species
AUUGAACGCUGGCGGCAGGCCUAACACAUGCAAGUCGAGCGGAUGAAGGGAGCUUGCUCCUGGAUUCAGCGGCGGACGGGUGAGUAAUGCCUAGGAAUCUGCCUGGUAGUGGGGGAUAACGUCCGGAAACGGGCGCUAAUACCGCAUACGUCCUGAGGGAGAAAGUGGGGGAUCUUCGGACCUCACGCUAUCAGAUGAGCCUAGGUCGGAUUAGCUAGUUGGUGGGGUAAAGGCCUACCAAGGCGACGAUCCGUAACUGGUCUGAGAGGAUGAUCAGUCAACAUGGAAAUGAGAACAGGUCCCAACUCCUACGGGAGGGAGCCGUGGGGAAUAUUGGACCAUGGGCGAAAGCCUGAUCCAGCCAUGCCGCGUGUGUGAAGAAGGUCUUCGGAUUGUAAAGCACUUUAAGUUGGGAGGAAGGGCAGUAAGUUAAUACCUUGCUGUUUUGACGUUACCAACAGAAUAAGCACCGGCUAACUUCGUG